rnacentral:tRNA from 1 species
GCGGGCGUCGCCAAGUGGUAAGGCACUGGCUUCCCAAGCCAGGAUUUCGCGGGUUCGAGUCCCGUCGCCCGCU